GGUUAAGCGACUAAGCGUACACGGUGGAUGCCCUGGCAGUCAGAGGCGAUGAAGGACGUGCUAAUCUGCGAUAAGCGUCGGUAAGGUGAUAUGAACCGUUAUAACCGGCGAUUUCCGAAUGGGGAAACCCAGUGUGUUUCGACACACUAUCAUUAACUGAAUCCAUAGGUUAAUGAGGCGAACCGGGGGAACUGAAACAUCUAAGUACCCCGAGGAAAAGAAAUCAACCGAGAUUCCCCCAGUAGCGGCGAGCGAACGGGGAGCAGCCCAGAGCCUGAAUCAGUGUGUGUGUUAGUGGAAGCGUCUGGAAAGGCGCGCGAUACAGGGUGACAGCCCCGUACACAAAAAUGCACAUGCUGUGAGCUCGAUGAGUAGGGCGGGACACGUGGUAUCCUGUCUGAAUAUGGGGGGACCAUCCUCCAAGGCUAAAUACUCCUGACUGACCGAUAGUGAACCAGUACCGUGAGGGAAAGGCGAAAAGAACCCCGGCGAGGGGAGUGAAAAAGAACCUGAAACCGUGUACGUACAAGCAGUGGGAGCACGCUUCGGCGUGUGACUGCGUACCUUUUGUAUAAUGGGUCAGCGACUUAUAUUCUGUAGCAAGGUUAACCGAAUAGGGGAGCCGAAGGGAAACCGAGUCUUAACUGGGCGUUAAGUUGCAGGGUAUAGACCCGAAACCCGGUGAUCUAGCCAUGGGCAGGUUGAAGGUUGGGUAACACUAACUGGAGGACCGAACCGACUAAUGUUGAAAAAUUAGCGGAUGACUUGUGGCUGGGGGUGAAAGGCCAAUCAAACCGGGAGAUAGCUGGUUCUCCCCGAAAGCUAUUUAGGUAGCGCCUCGUGAAUUCAUCUCCGGGGGUAGAGCACUGUUUCGGCAAGGGGGUCAUCCCGACUUACCAACCCGAUGCAAACUGCGAAUACCGGAGAAUGUUAUCACGGGAGACACACGGCGGGUGCUAACGUCCGUCGUGAAGAGGGAAACAACCCAGACCGCCAGCUAAGGUCCCAAAGUCAUGGUUAAGUGGGAAACGAUGUGGGAAGGCCCAGACAGCCAGGAUGUUGGCUUAGAAGCAGCCAUCAUUUAAAGAAAGCGUAAUAGCUCACUGGUCGAGUCGGCCUGCGCGGAAGAUGUAACGGGGCUAAACCAUGCACCGAAGCUGCGGCAGCGACACUGUGUGUUGUUGGGUAGGGGAGCGUUCUGUAAGCCUGUGAAGGUGUACUGUGAGGUAUGCUGGAGGUAUCAGAAGUGCGAAUGCUGACAUAAGUAACGAUAAAGCGGGUGAAAAGCCCGCUCGCCGGAAGACCAAGGGUUCCUGUCCAACGUUAAUCGGGGCAGGGUGAGUCGACCCCUAAGGCGAGGCCGAAAGGCGUAGUCGAUGGGAAACAGGUUAAUAUUCCUGUACUUGGUGUUACUGCGAAGGGGGGACGGAGAAGGCUAUGUUGGCCGGGCGACGGUUGUCCCGGUUUAAGCGUGUAGGCUGGUUUUCCAGGCAAAUCCGGAAAAUCAAGGCUGAGGCGUGAUGACGAGGCACUACGGUGCUGAAGCAACAAAUGCCCUGCUUCCAGGAAAAGCCUCUAAGCAUCAGGUAACAUCAAAUCGUACCCCAAACCGACACAGGUGGUCAGGUAGAGAAUACCAAGGCGCUUGAGAGAACUCGGGUGAAGGAACUAGGCAAAAUGGUGCCGUAACUUCGGGAGAAGGCACGCUGAUAUGUAGGUGAAGCGACUUGCUCGUGGAGCUGAAAUCAGUCGAAGAUACCAGCUGGCUGCAACUGUUUAUUAAAAACACAGCACUGUGCAAACACGAAAGUGGACGUAUACGGUGUGACGCCUGCCCGGUGCCGGAAGGUUAAUUGAUGGGGUCAGCGCAAGCGAAGCUCUUGAUCGAAGCCCCGGUAAACGGCGGCCGUAACUAUAACGGUCCUAAGGUAGCGAAAUUCCUUGUCGGGUAAGUUCCGACCUGCACGAAUGGCGUAAUGAUGGCCAGGCUGUCUCCACCCGAGACUCAGUGAAAUUGAACUCGCUGUGAAGAUGCAGUGUACCCGCGGCAAGACGGAAAGACCCCGUGAACCUUUACUAUAGCUUGACACUGAACAUUGAGCCUUGAUGUGUAGGAUAGGUGGGAGGCUUUGAAGUGUGGACGCCAGUCUGCAUGGAGCCGACCUUGAAAUACCACCCUUUAAUGUUUGAUGUUCUAACGUUGACCCGUAAUCCGGGUUGCGGACAGUGUCUGGUGGGUAGUUUGACUGGGGCGGUCUCCUCCUAAAGAGUAACGGAGGAGCACGAAGGUUGGCUAAUCCUGGUCGGACAUCAGGAGGUUAGUGCAAUGGCAUAAGCCAGCUUGACUGCGAGCGUGACGGCGCGAGCAGGUGCGAAAGCAGGUCAUAGUGAUCCGGUGGUUCUGAAUGGAAGGGCCAUCGCUCAACGGAUAAAAGGUACUCCGGGGAUAACAGGCUGAUACCGCCCAAGAGUUCAUAUCGACGGCGGUGUUUGGCACCUCGAUGUCGGCUCAUCACAUCCUGGGGCUGAAGUAGGUCCCAAGGGUAUGGCUGUUCGCCAUUUAAAGUGGUACGCGAGCUGGGUUUAGAACGUCGUGAGACAGUUCGGUCCCUAUCUGCCGUGGGCGCUGGAGAACUGAGGGGGGCUGCUCCUAGUACGAGAGGACCGGAGUGGACGCAUCACUGGUGUUCGGGUUGUCAUGCCAAUGGCACUGCCCGGUAGCUAAAUGCGGAAGAGAUAAGUGCUGAAAGCAUCUAAGCACGAAACUUGCCCCGAGAUGAGUUCUCCCUGACUCCUUGAGAGUCCUGAAGGAACGUUGAAGACGACGACGUUGAUAGGCCGGGUGUGUAAGCGCAGCGAUGCGUUGAGCUAACCGGUACUAAUGAACCGUGAGGCUUAACCUU
rnacentral:rRNA from 1 species